rnacentral:lncRNA from 1 species
GCCUGAUCUGACAGGGGGCAUCACACUGCUCUCUAGGAGAGCUUUGUACGAGCAUGUCUUACGUGAUUAAAACUGCUUACCAGAGAGGUGAAAAGAGUUGUCAGGAAUCUGCAUGUUGCAAGUCUGCACCUUGAAGUGAAAAGUGGGCCUUUGCCCUGGACACUCUGGGCAAACGCCAAAUGUGCUAUAACUAAUGGCCACAAAAAGCCAUGUGGUUUCUUUUCCCUUUCUCACAAGUUCUUUUCUCUGUUAUUUGCUGUUUAAACUCCUUUUUUAAUGUUGGAGUUAUACAUUCUAAUUCUAGUUUUUUCCUUUUUCUUUAACUCAGGACUGGUGUUUGAUACUUCACCAGGUAUCCUCCUGCCCGUGAUAGUCCCUCUGAGAUGUUACUGAAUUACAAGGUCCGAGAAAUCCUGACCACAAGCCAACAGAUCCCUCAGAAGAACAUCAGGGCACAAAAGGACAUGUUCUUCACUGGUUGUUUUCAUCACUUCUCAACAUAUUUACCUAUUUGUAAAAAGUAUAGGCCUCCCUGGAGAACUUG